UUAGAUGUGGUGAAAAUAUUUUUAGGUUAGGAUUUCAGAGUUUUAUUCACAAAGGGUUUCACUCUUCACUAUUUUCCGGUCACCACCAACCCGAAAUCCGGCGAAGUUCCGGCAACCCAAAACCCCGUUUCCUUUUGCCAUUUUCCGCGAACAUCAACUCCGGCUAAACAACAACCAAAACAACUCCAAAUUCCAUCGAACUUCCACCUCCAAACCUCACUGCCAGACCAUACCUCACCAAACAACCAUCUAGCCUUCUUCUUCAUCAGUUCGCACGACCAUCUCCACCGGCCAGCAGCUCAACGGAGAAAUCAUCUCCGGUGAAACCCCGAACAGCCACCAGUCCCCAUCCCCUUUUUCUUUGACGAUUCACUUCAUUUUGCAGGUAUUUUAGCAAAACCCGCGCCGCUGCUGGUCAAAGCUUCGACAAGCAACAAACCACCAGCUAACACCACCAUUGCCUCCCCGUUUCUCCAUUUUUUCCAGACCCCAAAAUCCCAUCUCCAUUCGCCACAUUUUCCGAAACAAGCUCCAAACGAGCUCACCACAAAACCACCAGAAGCCCGCUGCUACCAGUGACAACACCCUCACUGUUCUCCCUCUUCUCCGACAAGCUCACACAACCAAUAAACUCUGUUUUCUCUGACCGAAAUCCAGCCAACCAAAUCCCCAAAUCAACCAGAAACCAGAAACCAGUCCCAAGACCCACGACCCAAAUACCCUCUUUUUCCGAGCAAAACAACCAAGCUCCAAGCAGUCAUCUCCGACCCAAAACCACUAGAUCUCACUCCAAACCUGUCAACAACAGCAAGUGAGCACUGCCGGAAGGACCACCUGGAAGCUUUAAGCUUUAAGAUUUAACAAUCAAUGAACUCACUCACUAGUUCAAAUCAGCAACACAACACUAUCAAUUCCAGCAAAUGAGUAAGCCUCUUUAUUUUUAUCUUUUGCUAUUUUACUUU
rnacentral:lncRNA from 1 species